UACGUAGGGGGCAAGCGUUGUCCGGAAUCAUUGGGCGUAAAGCGCGUGUAGGCGGCUUGGUAAGUCCGCUCUGAAAGCCCGGGGCUCAACCCCGGGAGGCGGGUGGAUACUGUCAAGCUCGAGUCCGGAAGAGGCGAGUGGAAUUCCUGGUGUAGCGGUGAAAUGCGCAGAUAUCAGGAGGAACACCGGUGGCGAAGGCGGUUCUCUGGGCCUUACCUGACGCUGAGGCGCGAAAGCUAGGGGAGCGAACAGG
rnacentral:rRNA from 1 species